GCCGGAUUAGCUCAGUGGUUAGAGCGUCUGUCUUGUAAACAGAAGGUCGCAGGUUCGAUCCCUGCAUUCGGCA
rfam:Onchocerca ochengi, WGS project CAWC01000000 data, contig: 02448_3767